CUCUCUCUAUAAUAUUAAGCAAUAGUCAAAAGUUCAAAAGUUGUUACAAUGAAAAGUAAUCUCAUAUUUAUACUAAUGAAUAAAAACGUCCAAACCCAUCAAAUUAUGGUAAUAAUUUGAUUUCAUAAGAAUUCUAUCGAAACUAGAAAAUUCGGCCAAAAAUAGAAAAUUCGCCAAUUUUUUGGCUUGUGCGGCCGCAUGGUGUAAAUCCAUGCGGUCGCAUGGUUCAACUGGAAUUGGACUUUUGGUUUUCGGUAUACAUGUGUGCGGCUGCAUGUGGUUUUGCCUGUGUGGCCGCAUGGUGUUGUCUUCAGCCUCCGCUUUCGUCGCUUGAUAACAAAUUGAUCCAAGUUGAUUCGGCCUUCGACCCGAACAUAAAAGUUGCUCCAUUUCGAGUCCUGAACGUGGUUCCAUCAAUGGUUUCUUGAACGAGCAAUCCCAUCACUUGUUUCACUUACUUUUCCCUUGAUCGCGUUAUUGGUCCGCCAUCGACUAUCAACGGGUCUCGUCUCGCACUUGCCUUCGUCGGGCUCGACUCCUGGAUCAUAUCAUCCCCUCCCUCUUCAAAAGGAUUCAUCCUCGAAUCUGAACCUACAUCAAACAGAGAGAGAUCAGAUACAUUAAAAGUAGCUGAAACAUUAUACUCACCAAGUAAAUCCACUUUGUAUGCAUUAUCAUUGAUCCUCUCGAUGAUUUGAAACGGUCCAUCGCCUCGUGGUUACAAUUUUGACUUCCUCUGUUCUGGAAAACGCUCUUUUCUGAAAUGCACCCAGACCCAAUCUCCAGGUUCAAAUGUAACGCGUCUUCUUCCUUUAUUUGCUUUUGAUGCAAUCAGCUUUCCUUUCUCUUCGAUCUGCAUCCUGACCUUUUCAUGGAGUGUUUUCACCAUCUCGGCUUUUCGUUUCCCAUCCAAGCUACCUCGUUCAUGCACAGGCAAAGGCAUUAAAUCCAUAGGUGUUAGUGGAUUAAAACCAUAAACAAUUUCAAAAGGAGAAAACGAAGUAGUAAAAUGUGUAGCUCGAUUAUAUGCAAACUCUAUAAACGGUAAACACUCUUCCCAUGAUUUUCGAUUUUUAUUGAUCACUAUCCUAAGUAGUUGAGUCAUAGUUCGAUUAACUACCUCAGUUUAUCCAUCUGUUUGUGGGUGACAAGUUGUAGAAAAUAAUAACUUAGUUCCUAACUUACUCCACAGAACACGCCAAAAAUGACUCAAAAACUUCACUUCCCUAUCAGACACUAGACUUUUAGGUACUCCAUGUAAACGUACUAUUUUCCUAAAGAAUAAGUCCAUAGUAUUAGUAGCAUCGUCAGUUUUAUGACAUGGUAUGAAGUGCGCCAUCUUACUAAACCUAUCGACGACUACAAAUAUUGAAUCCCGACCCCUUUUUGACCUAGGCAAACCUAACACAAAGUCCAUAGAUAUGUCUACCCAAGGUUCACUAGGUACAGGGAAAGGAGUAUACAAACCAUGGGAUUGGACCUUAGACUUAGCCUUUUUACAAGUUAUGCACUUUCCACAUAUUUGUUCUACAUCAUGUCGCAUUUUAGGCCAAUAAAAAUGUUCCCCUAACAUGUCUAAAGUCUUUUGAACCCCGAAGUGUCCCAUUAAACCACCUCCAUGUGCUUCCCUUACCAAUAAUUCAUGCAAAGAACAAUUAGGAAUGUACAACUUAUCUUCCCUAAACAAAUAUCCUUCAUGCCUAUAGAAUUUAUCAAAUGCACCUUUGUCACAUGAAGCAUAAAUACAAGAAAAAUCACAAUUAGAUUCAUACAUGCCCUUAAUAUGUUCGAAACCAAGUAGUUUAGUACUUAAUGAAUUUAAAAGCACGUACCUUCGAGACACGUAUCAGCAACUAUAAUUUCAUUACCUUGUUUGUACUUGAUGACAUAGGGAAAUGUCUCGAUAAACUCCACCCAUCUCGCAUGUCUUUUGUUCAACUUACCUUGACCUCGCAAAUGCUUUAAAGAUUCAUGAUCGAUGUGUAUCACGAAUUCCUUUGGCCAUAAGUAGUGCUGCCGAGUCUCCAAUGCUCGAACAAGUGAAUACAACUCCUUGUCAUAUGUCGGAUAAUUCAAUGCUGCCCCACUCAACUUUUUGCCAAAGUAAGCAAUAGGUCUCCUUUCCUGCAUUAACACUGCUCCUAUACCUAUUCCUGAUGCAUCACACUCAACCUCGAAUGUUUUAUCAAAAUUUGGUAGUGCUAAAACAGGUGUUUUACAUAGAUUAUCCUUAAUUGUGUUAAAUUCAAUUUCUUGAGAUUCUCCCCAAUGGAAACCUACACUCUUCUUUACUAUUUCAGUCAACGGUGUGGUGAUGGUGCUAAAAAUCUCUUACAAAUCGCCUAUAAAAACUAGCCAAUCCAUGAAAACUCCUAACUUCAGUUAUAGUUUUAGGUGUCGGCCAUUCCUUUAUAGCUUUUAUCUUUUCUUCAUCGACUUCCACCCCGUUAGCACCAACCACAAAUCCUAGGAAAAUAACUCUAUUCAUGCAAAAUGUGCACUUUUUGAAAUUAGCAUAUAGUUGUUUAUUUCGCAACACAACAAGCACACAAUUUAAAUGUUCUAAAUGCUCAUCUAGGUUUUUGCUAUAGAUUAAGAUGUCAUCAAAAUAAACUACAACAAAUUUCCCAAUAAAAGCACGCAAAACAUGGUUCAUUAAACGCAUAAAAGUGCUCGGUGUAUUAGUGAGUCCAAACGGCAUAACUAACCAUUCAUACAAUCCAUACUUAGUCUUAAACACCGUUUUUCAUUCAUCACCCUCUCGCAUGCAAAUUUGAUGAUACCCACUCUUAAGAUCAAUCUUACUAAAAAUGCAAGCACCAUGCAACUCAUCAAGCAUAUCAUCUAACCUAGGUAUUGGGUGACGAUACUUUACCGUGAUAUUGUUGAUAACUCGGCAAUCCACGCACAUUCUCCAAGUCUCGUCCUUCUUAGGCACCAGCAAAACAUGUACAGCACAUGGGCUCAUGCUCUCCCUGACAUAACCUUUGCUCAUCAACUCCUCCACUUGCUUUUGAAGCUCCUUCAUCUCCUCGAGAUUGCUUCGGUAAGCUGGUCGAUUCGGUAUGACAGCUCUGGGUACAAAGUCAAUCUGGUGCUCGAUGCCUCUGAUUGGUGACAAUCCACUUGGCAUCUCCUCAGGAAACACAUUGUCGAAUUCCUGCAAUAAAGACUUGACCAAACUAGGGAGGGAUGUGUUAGAAUCCUCGAAAUUGAGGAGGGACUCCUUGUACACUAACAAUAUCAUUUGCCUAUUAUCGCUCAUAGCCUUUUUCAACUCACUCUCUUUUGCAUAGAAGUUAACCUUUGGCUUUUCUCUCCGCUCAGUUGACUCUUUUUCUCUCCUCUCAACUGACUCUUUCUCUCCACUCAUGUGGCUCUCUCUCUUUUCUCCACUCUCAGCCACCUCACUAUUUUCUCUCUUAGUGAUGGUUUCACUAUUGCCUCUCCUUUUUCCCGACUCUCUUAUUCUCUCGUCUUCCUCACUUUUCAGUUUGAUAUGAUCUCCAUACACUUGUGCCGGUGUUAAUGGCACAAGAGUAAUAGUCUUCCCAUCCUUGACAAAGUUAUAACGAUUCCUAUAUCCAUCAUGUGUGACCCUUCUAUCAUAUUGCCAUGAUCUUCCUAAAAAGAUAUGACCCACAUGCAUAGGCACCACAUCACAUACUACUUCGUCACUAUAACUCCCAAUUGAGAAAUUAAUUAAAACUCUUUUAUUCACCCUAACUUCCCCACUUUCAUUCAACCAUUGCAACUUAUAAGGCCUAGAGUGUCUUAACAAUGCUUGUCCUAAUUUCUCAACUAAAGUUGUAAUAGCUAUAUUCGUGCAACUCCCACCAUCAAUAAUCAUACUAAAUACCUUAUCGUUGACGUAACAACGUGUAUGGAAUAUAUUUUCUCGCUGCUGCUCCAAAUCAUCCACUUUGACUUGAGUGUUAAGAGCUCUUCUUGACACCAACGAUUCCCCAACAGCAAACUCCAAUUUUUCUUCUUCUUCAACGUCCUCAAAUGCAGACAUGUCCUCAAACUCUCCUUCACUUUCACUCACCACAUCUCCAUUAUCCAACAAAAUCGUUACCCAUUUAUUUGGGCAUUGAGAAGCAAUGUGCCCUGACCCUAAGCAUCUAAAACACUUGAUGUCUCGGUUCCUUGAUGGUUGUGAAUCUGUUUUGGAUGCUGUUUUGCUAGCACUUUCUUCUUUUCCUUUCUGCCACUCAUUCCUACCUUUAGGUACAACUUUAUCACCUUUGUUGUUGUUUUUGUUCCACCCUAUCUUCCAAGAUGGAUUAACACUCGAAGUUCCUAACGAAUGCCUAACUGCCUCUUUCCUCUUCAAUUGUCUCUCUACCUUCAUAGCCACAUGCAACAUAUCUUCCAACUCCACAUAAUGUUGCAACUCCACUACAUUGGCAAUUUCCCUAUUCAACCCAUUCAAGAAUCGUGCCAUGGUAGCCUCUCUAUCCUCCACCACAUUGGCCCUAAUCAUGAGUAUUUUCAUCUCCUUAUGAUAGUCCUCUACACUUUUUGACCCUUGAUAUAGACCUUGCAGUUUUUGAUGGAUCUCUUGGUAAUAGUGGCUAGGAACAAACCUCUUUCUCAUCAAUGACUUAAAUUCCUCCCAAGUGCUGAUUGGUCUUUCCCCACUCCUACGUUGUGAAGUAAUCACUUGAUCCCACCAUGAAAUUACAUAGUCACUGAACUCCAAAACUGCUAAUUUCACCUUUUUCUCUUCCGAGUAGUUAUAACACUCGAAGAUCAUUUCAACCUUCCUUUCCCACUCCAGGUAUGCCUCGGGAUCACUCCUUCCUUUGAAUGAAAGAACUGUCAUUUUUAUAUUUCCCAAGUUUCCAUCCAACUCCUUUCCGCGAUCAUUCCGACCCCGUCUGUCGAACCUAUCGCCUCUAUUCCUCAUCCUUCCCAUCUCAACACCGUAAAAUUCAUCUUCGCCCAUGUCACUCCCAUAUCCAUACUCCUCUCGCCUUUCCCUCCUAGGCUCCCAUCUAUCCGGUCCUCUGGCAUUAGAUACAUCCACUCGAUGCCCCCGACUGAGAUUAGCCACCGAUGUAUCUAAUCUAUUCAUCCAAGCCUCCUGCUUCUCCAACCUAUCUCUCACAUCUCCAAACGCCCUCUCAAACCUUUGCUCUAAAUCCUCCGAUGCAUUCCUAUUAUUGCCUUGUCGGCUUGAGUUUGAUUCCGCCCUUUCUGACAUCCUAACACUAAAAUUUUAUUUUACUGCCUCACCAAAAGUCACUCGAAACACACACAAGGGCUUUUACCCUUUAUUAAGCUCACCUCUCUGCCUUUUACCACUCAGUUCUUUCAACAAUUGUUUCUAGGAACAAUCAAUGAACUCAAUCAAUCAAUCAAUUCAUGUAGAAUUUCCCAAACCGAAUGUGACUCAAUAAUUAUAACAAAGGACUCAAAGAAAACUUUUAAAACUUGAUUUGAAUGAAGGAAUGGAGUGUUCCAAUGUGUCCAAGUAAUUUAGAAGCAAUAAUGAAUAAUAAAAGUUGGUAUUUGACGGAUCAAUAAUAUUUAACAAGUUUUUUUUACUGUACGGAUGAACAGUACUGUACGGAUGAACAAUAUUUUUUUUUAAGAUCCGAAAAUCAAUAACAAAACCAACAAAGAAAACGAAAACUGAUUUGGGCGAAAAUUGAGCCCAGAAACGGAAUUUGAAGAUUUUUUAUGAAACUUUUGGAUCAAAGAAUCAAGAAAACCUUUUGGACACAAGAACACAAGGAAUUGAAAAAAAGUAGAAAACAAAGGAUAUAACUUGAUUAAAUUGGAGCCAAAGCUUUGAUACCAACUGAUGCGAACCCCGUAGUAAUGGAAACUACGAAACCCACACGAGAUUGAUGUGGAACCCAAGAACGCCAAUACUAACCCGAUUUUGGAUCUUGAACCCCAAGAAUUGAACCAAGAAACCCUAGACUAGCGAAGAACCUAAAACCCCUUGAUUACAAUUGAAAAAACCCACAAUCCGAUUGAUCAGAACGCCACAAGAAGUUGAUUCUUGAUAAGUUCCAAGAUUGUUCAAGAAGAACAAUAAAUUGAAAGAACAAUUCUCUCUCUAUAAUAUUAAGCAAUAUCAGAAGUUCAAAAGUUGUUACAAUGAAAAGUAAUCUCUUAUUUAUACUAAUGAAUAAAAACGUCCAAAACCAUCAAAUUAUGGUAAUAAUUUGAUUUCAUAAAAAUUCUAUCGAAACUAGGAAAUUUGACCAAAAAUAGAAAAUUCGCCAAUUUUUUGGCUUGUGCGGUUGCAUGGUGUAAAUCCAUGCGGUCGCAUGGUUCAACUGGAAUUGGACUUUUGGUUUUCGAUAUGCAUGUGUGCGGCCGCAUGUGGUUUUGCCUGUGCGGCCGCAUGGUGUUGUCUUCAGCCUCCACUUUCGUCGCUUGAUAACAAAUUGAUCUAAGUUGAUUCGGCCUUCGACCUGAACAUGAAAGUUGCUCCAUUUCGAGUCCCGAACAUAGUUCCAUCAAUGGUUUCUUGAGCGAGCAAUCCCAUCGUUUGUUUCACUUGCUUUGCCCUUGAUCGCGUCAUUGGUCCGUCAUCGACUAUCAACGGGUCUCGUCUCGCACUUGCCUUCGUCGGGCUCGACUCCUGGAUCAUAUCAACAAGAUUGUUGUUUUAUUUAUCAUUACUCUAUCAAUAUCUAAAUAUUUGACCCUAUUAAAAUUGAAUUUAAUAUAUUCAUCAUUUUAGUCCUUCAACCUUUCAAAUCUAAAAUAUAAUAAAUAAAAUAAAUAAAUUCUAGCAUGUGAAAAUUUUCGAGACUUUACAUAUAUGAUUUCAAUGGAGAGUAUUUAGUUCCAAAAGAACAAAUCAUCC
rnacentral:lncRNA from 1 species